AGUGAACGCUGGCGGCAUGCCUAACACAUGCAAGUCGAACGGCAGCACAGUAAGAGCUUGCUGUUACGGGGUGCGAGUGGCGGGCGUGUGAGGUAUAUAUCGUAAUCUACUUUUUCGGGGGAGAUAACGUAGGGAGACUUACUCUAAUACCGCAUAACACGUACGGGGGAGAGGGGGGGAUCUUCGCACCUUGCGCGAUUGAAUGAGCCGAUGUCGUAUUAGCUAGUUGGCGGGGUAAAGGCCCACCAAGGCGACGAUCCGUAGCUGGUCUGAGAGGAUGAUCAGCCACACUGGAACUGAGACACGGUCCAGACUCCUACGGGAGGCAGCAGUGGGGAAUGUUGGACAAUGGGCGAAAGCCUGAUCCAGCCAUGCCGCGUGUGUGAAGAAGGCCUUCGGGUUGUAAAGCCCUUUUGUUGGGAAGGAAAAGCAGCAGGUUAAUACCCAGCUGUGCUGACGGUACCGAAAGAAUAAGCACCGGCUAACUUCGUG
rnacentral:rRNA from 1 species